rnacentral:rRNA from 1 species
AUUGAACGCUGGCGGCAUGCCUUACACAUGCAAGUCGAACGGUAACAGGUCUUCGGACGCUGACGAGUGGCGAACGGGUGAGUAAUACAUCGGAACGUGCCCAGUCGUGGGGGAUAACUACUCGAAAGAGUAGCUAAUACCGCAUACGAUCUGAGGAUGAAAGCGGGGGACCUUCGGGCCUCGCGCGAUUGGAGCGGCCGAUGGCGGAUUAGGGGGUUGGUGGGAUAAAAGCUUACCAAGCCGACGAUCUGUAGCUGGUCUGAGAGGACGACCAGCCACCCUGGGACGAAGCGCCGGCCCAGACUCCUACGGGAGGGAGCAUUGGGGAAUUUUGGACAAGGGGCGAAAGCCUGAUCCAGCAAUGCCGCGUGCAGGAUGAAGGCCUUCGGGUUGUAAACUGCUUUUGUACGGAGCGAAAAAGCUCCUUCUAAUACAGGGGGCCCAUGACGGUACCGGAAGAAUAAGCACCGGCUAACUACGUGCCAGCCGCCGCGGUAA